AAAAAAAAAAAAUUAAAAAUGGCACACACAAAAAAAGAGAAAGGUUUAUACAAACCUCACCCCCACACUUGAACUUAAUGUUAAAAUGAUAGAAUCAGACAAAAACCGCAAUGAGAAAUUCAAGUGUGAAGAAAGUCGGGUGAAGGCCCAAAAUAAUUAAUAACUAUGGUCAAGAAAAGUUAAAGAGUACUCCUUUUGUAGAUCUCCCAAUGCACACAACCUUCGGUGAAGAUAUGAUAGACACCAUCCACAAGGAAACAAGGCCUUGACUUCCUCAAAGAAAAAUGCACCUCACACGUUGUAGCCCUUUGCCCAUUAAAACUGCUCUCUAGGGCUCAAUGUAGCUUCAAAUCAAGUGUGGCCAAAAAUCUCAGAAGUAUGGAGUAAUAGAAAAAAGAAUGUAGGGUGAACAAAGUAUAAUUGAAAAAAUGAUAUUUUAGGUAUUGUAAAUGGGUGAACAAAGUAGAUUUACAAAUAAAAAUAUAUAAAUGGGGUGUGAAAAGAAUGUGGGGUGAAGAAAGUGGUUUGUGGGGGUGGCAAUAGACACACCCGGUUGCUAUUAAAUUGGAAAAGAAUCUCAUUCAAUCUAGACACUAGAUAAGAAUCCCAACUUGUAUCAAACUAGAAAUGAAACCAAAAUCGUUUCUCAGGAAUUGCAGAUUAGCACACUCCCCUCCUUGAUACAAUUUGUAAAGUCAAAUAGACAAGUUGCAUGUGUUUACCGACUCAAUCAAAAUUGUUUGUAAGCCAAAUUCCCAAUGUUUUGCUGGGCAAAAAGAACGAAAUUGGGAAGGACUAAGUGAUGGGUUUUGGUAUAUAAACAAUAAUAUUUGAAUUUUUGAUUUUUGUUCAUAUAUAUAAUAAAAUUACUUAUUUCUCUUCUUUUAGAUCGUUUGAUUCCAUUAAUCAUGGAUUGUAUACUUGCAUAUUAACUUGUUCUGGGCUGUGUGUAAGAGGGAAGAAAACUAGUUUUUUUUUUUAAUUUUUUUUUCUUUUUUAUGCUUAGAAGAAGAAGAAGAAUGACAGAAGGAGAGAAGAAGGAAAGAAGAAAAUGGUUAUGCACAAUAGAACUGAAAACUUGCACAUGAGUUAAUAGUUAAUGUCCUCUCUGGUAUUUUCAUUUGUACACAAAGUAUGAUUUUAAAUGUCAAAAUUUAAGGAUGUGUAUGUUGUAUUAUGAGCAAAUAAAAUUACUCUAAAGAUUAUUGAGCUCUUAUGUAUAAAGAUUAUUAUAUUUUUAAGAAAAAAAAGAAUAAUAUAGGGAAUAAAUAGGUAUAACAAAAAAAACAAAAAAAACUUCUCAUUUUUGGCUGAAAAUUCAAGUUUGCCGCGAAAGUGUCCUUCCCGCGCGGCCUCAAAUGUCCUCCGGCCCCUAAAAAUUCUGGAGCCUCGUUGUCAAGCGCGCGCUGAAUGAUAGAACACGGCUUCUCUCUCAAAUCUCAGGCUGAAAGAUAGAAAACGCCAGCCCUGGCUGCUCUGAAUCUCCCAACGCUC
rnacentral:lncRNA from 1 species